rnacentral:rRNA from 1 species
UACGUAGGGUGCAAGCGUUGUCCGGAAUCAUUGGGCGUAAAGAGCGUGUAGGCGGCCAGAUAAGUCCGCUGUGAAAACUCGAGGCUCAACUUCGAGCUGUCGGUGGAAACUUUCUGGCUAGAGUCCGGAAGAGGAGAAUGGAAUUCCUGGUGUAGCGGUGAAAUGCGCAGAUAUCAGGAAGAACACCCGUGGCGAAGGCGGUUCUCUGGGACGGUACUGACGCUGAGACGCGAAAGCGUGGGGAGCGAACAGG